rnacentral:rRNA from 1 species
CGGUGUUUAACUGGCGUGAUGUGGGACGUCCUACCGGUGGGCUUAGCCUCGCGAGGGGCGGCCCAACUAAUAUCCCGUCGCGGUGCUCUUUACUGAGUGUCGAGUCGGGCCGGUACGUUUACUUUGAACAAAUUAGAGUGCUUAAAGCAGGCUAUCCUCGCCUGAAUACUGCGUGCAUGGAAUAAUGGAAUAGGACCUCGGUUCUAUUUUGUUGGUUUUCGGAACCCCGAGGUAAUGAUUAAUAGGGACAGAUGGGGGCAUUCGUAUUGCGACGUUAGAGGUGAAAUUCUUGGAUCGUCGCAAGACGGACAGAAGCGAAAGCAUUUGCCAAAAAUGUUUUCAUUAAUCAAGAACGAAAGUUAGAGGUUCGAAGGCGAUCAGAUACCGCCCUAGUUCUAACCAUAAACGAUGCCAGCUAGCGAUCCGCCGAAGUUCCUCCGAUGACUCGGCGGGCAGCUUCCGGGAAACCAAAGCUUUUGGGUUCCGGGGGAAGUAUGGUUGCAAAGCUGAAACUUAAAGGAAUUGACGGAAGGGCACCACCAGGAGUGGAGCCUGCGGCUUAAUUUGACUCAACACGGGAAACCUCACCAGGCCCAGACACCGGAAGGAUUGACAGAUUGAUAGCUCUUUCUUGAUUCGGUGGGUGGUGGUGCAUGGCCGUUCUUAGUUGGUGGAGCGAUUUGUCUGGUUAAUUCCGAUAACGAACGAGACUCUAGCCUGCUAAAUAGGCGUACCUUAUGGUAUCGCGAAGGCCCCCGGCUUCGGCCGGUGGGUUUUUACUACCAACGUACAAACAAAUCUUUUUAGAGGGACAGGCGG